CUGAGUACGGCGGAACACGUGAAAUUCCGUCGGAAUCCGGGAGGACCAUCUCCCAAGGCUAAAUACUCCCUAGUGACCGAUAGUGAACCAGUACCGUGAGGGAAAGGUGAAAAGCACCCCGGAAGGGGAGUGAAACAGUUCCUGAAACCGUGUGCCUACAAGUAGUUAGAGCCCGUUAAUGGGUGAUAGCGUGCCUUUUGUAGAAUGAACCGGCGAGUUACGAUUUGUUGCAAGGUUAAGCGGAAAAAGCGGAGCCGUAGCGAAAGCGAGUCUGAAUAGGGCGCAUAAGUAACAGGUCGUAGACCCGAAACCAGGUGAUCUACCCAUGUCCAGGAUGAAGGUAAGGUAAUACUUACUGGAGGUCCGAACCCACGCACGUUGAAAAGUGCGGGGAUGAGGUGUGGGUAGCGGAGAAAUUCCAAUCGAACUUGGAGAUAGCUGGUUCUCUCCGAAAUAGCUUUAGGGCUAGCCUCGAGGUAAAGAGUCAUGGAGGUAGAGCACUGUUUGGACUAGGGGCCCUUCUCGGGUUACCGAAUUCAGAUAAACUCCGAAUGCCAUGUACUUAUACUCGGGAGUCAGACUGCGAGUGAUAAGAUCCGUAGUCGAAAGGGAAACAGCCCAGACCACCAGUUAAGGUCCCCAAAUAUAUGUUAAGUGGAAAAGGAUGUGGGGUUGCUUAGACAACCAGGAUGUUGGCUUAGAAGCAGCCACCAUUGAAAGAGUGCGUAAUAGCUCACUGGUCGAGUGACCCCGCGCCGAAAAUGUACCGGGGCUAAACAUAUUACCGAAACUGUGGAUGAACCUCUUUAGAGGUUCGUGGUAGGAGAGCGUUCUAAGGGCGGUGAAGUCAGACCGGAAGGACUGGUGGAGCGCUUAGAAGUGAGAAUGCCGGUAUGAGUAGCGAAAGAAGGGUGAGAAUCCCUUCCACCGAAUAUCUAAGGUUUCCUGAGGAAGGCUCGUCCGCUCAGGGUUAGUCGGGACCUAAGCCGAGGCCGAUAGGCGUAGGCGAUGGACAACAGGUAGAGAUUCCUGUACCAGUGCUAAUUGUUUAACCGAUGGGGUGACACAGAAGGAUAGGGAAUCGCACGAAUGGAAAUGUGCGUCCAAGCAGUGAGUGUGAGAAGUAGGCAAAUCCGCUUCUCGCGAAGCAUGAGCUGUGAUGGGGAAGGAAAUUAAGUACGGAAGUUCCUGAUUUCACGCUGUCAA
rnacentral:rRNA from 1 species